rnacentral:lncRNA from 1 species
AUGUACAAUGCCAACCUCAAGGGAGCCCAGAGUAAAGAAAAUGCUGUCUUUGAAACUCUUCUACAACUUUCCCUGGAUAUAGGCUCUGAACUCCCACAGGAUUCACAUGAAAGAGGUUGCAGCAAUACUCAUUCAAGUUGGAAAAGAGAAGGCUAUGAACAGAUGGCUAUGGCAAACAGCACAUUGCAAUUGGGGAGCAGUGCACAGAACAAAAACUCUUGGAGCCUCUACCAACUCCUUAUGGCUGUAAGAAAACCAAGAAAGGCAGAGAUGUGAUGUAUGAUAUGGACAAGUUGUGGCAUCAGUGCGUAAUAUCUUUCUUCUAGGAUUUUGGUGAGACAAAAAUAAUAUUUGUUUAAGCCACUGAAGUUGGGUAUGUGGCUUCCAGUUUUAAUUGACCCUUUUUAUCUAUUGCCUACAUGAUAAA